GGGCAAUUAGCUCAAUGGCAGAGCGCCUGGUUUACAUCCAGGAGGUUAGAGGUUCAAAUCCUCUAUUGCCCA
rnacentral:tRNA from 1 species